AGGGUUUGAUCCUGGCUCAGAACGUACGCUGGCGGCACGCCUAACACAUGCAAGUCGAACGCAGUAGCAAUACUGAGUGGCAAACGGGUGAGUAUAAUGUGGGAAUCUGCCUUUUGGUUUGGAAUAACACGGGGAAACUUGUGCUAAUACCGAAUAAGCCCUUACGGGGAAAGUUUUAACGCCGAAAGAUGAGCCCGCACUUGAUUAGCUAGUUGGUAAGGUAAAAGCUUACCAAGGCAACGAUCAAUAGCUGUUCUUAGAGGAAGACCAGCCACAUUGGGACUGAGACACGGCCCAGACUCCUACGGGAGGCAGCAGUGGGGAAUCUUGCACAAUGGGGGAAACCCUGAUGCAGCGAUGCCGCGUGAGUGAAGAAGGCCCUUGGGUUGUAAAACUCUUUCGUCGGGGAAGAAAAUAACUGUACCCGAAUAAGAAGGUCCGGCUAACUUCGUGCCAGCAGCCGCGGUAAUAC
rnacentral:rRNA from 1 species